UGGGGGCGGAGAUGGAAAACAAGCAAGAAAAGAGAGAGAGAAAGAAGGAAGCUGUCAGUUAUUAGCUGCAAAAUCAGGAGGAAGCGCAGGGUUCACCGCUCUGUCACUAGUCUGCUGCGGAGAGGAGGAAGCGUCUACGAUGAGAUAAAUAGAGCUAAGGAAGUUGCUCUGUUGCUAGGUUACCACGUUUUGCUGAAAAGUGGGUGAAGUUAAUGUUAUGUUUUACUAGCGGUAGGUAGACAUACUGGAUUUUAUUUGCAAAAAAAACCCAAAAGGGAAAUUAAUCUACCUACAGUCAAAAUGUUACUAAGGAAUGUAAUUAAAACACUUUGAAGAAUAUUUGAGAUUUUGUUAGCAACAAAGAAAAAGUUGCACUAUUUUUCUUUGCGACUGAAGUUACAUAUGUUAAUAUUUAGCUUCAAUUAGACCACUAUUUUUUUUUGUAUCCACUCUAUUAUCCUGGAUUUUAUUUGGGGGUAUCAAGUAAAAAAGGCUAAACGCAUAUGUCACACUUUCCAGACUUCUAUUAGUAGAUCAUUUAUAAAAUAUUUUCUUCCACUUCUACUCCAGGUAUAGCAUAUAAUUAUAAACAGUAAUCUUCUCAUCAGACAUUUUCCCCGUGGAUUCAAAAACAGCAAUUAUCAAAUUGCUGAUGCAGAACUACCUGGCAUAGUGAUUAACUCUGACCUGAACGUUCAGAGUCACAUGAAGACAGUUACGAAGUCGGCCUUCUGUCACCUGAAGAACGUUCCCAGGUUUAAAGAAUCAAUGUUCCAACAAGAUCUUGAGAAAGAAAAUGUGGCACCAUGCUGCAACAGUGUCCUCACAGGUCUGCCUACCAAAAGAAAAAAAAAAACUCAAUCGUCCAGCUGCUGCUGCUGGAGUUCUGACUAAAACCAGGAAGAAGGAGCACAUUAAACCCGGUUCACUCUCCUGUAGCUCAGAGAAUAGACUUUAAAAUACUGUUGUUUAUAAAUCACCAAACGGUUUAGCAAUAAAUUAUAUUAAAGACCUGCUUGUUGUUGUAUCAACCUUCCAGACCUUUUAGUUUCUGUGGUUCUGGUCUGCUCUGCGUACCCAGAACCAGAACCAAAUGUAGAGGAGCAUCUUUAAGUUUUCAUGCAUCACUAAUCUGGAACAAACUUCCAGAAGGUUUUCUGGGAGUUUUUAGCUUUUAAAACCAUUUUUAAGGCUAAAAAAAGGGCUAAAAUCCAUUUUCUUAGUUGACCUUGAGCAAUAAUAACCGGAACAUUCUUAUUUCUGGUCUUCGUUUCAAUAUUCUGUAGUAAUUUUUGGAUGAUUUUGAUGAUGAUGCUUUAGAAUAUGUAAUAUUUGCUGCUUGUGUGUUUGUUUUAUGUCCUCAUCACGUUUAGUAAUUGUGUUAUGCUUGUAUCAUGUACAGCACUUUGCUGCUGAAAUGGGCUUUACAAAUACAUCUGACUUAGCUUGACUCCAGGAAGGUGUGAACCUUUUCGACAGGCAUUUCUGCCAACAGCCUGUCUGCUCCAUCCACUCAUCCCGUUUGCCUCUUCUGCUAAAUAUCUGUCUUGUUAACAUAAAAACAGCAGGCCUCUCCUAACUCUAACCGGAAAGGAGGAACAAAGUGCAACUUUUCAGCCAAAAGGAAGUGAAACUGUCUCUGGAUUGAUGUGGCUUCAGAUCGAAUCUCUUCUAAAGCAAACCGUCGUGUUUUGUUUUACAUUUUAGCACAAAGGAUCCUAAGAAGACAGACACAAAGGCUGAACAUUAAGACUUUAACUCUUGCCGUCUUUCGUCUCAAGACGUCAAUAUGUGAGAGAGAGAGAGUGUGUGUGUGUGUGUGUGUCAGGGCAGUCCAAUAGGCUCCCAGUGGGUGUGUGUAAGAAGGGAGGAUGGCCCUACAAGGCCAGACGGAAACAAGAGCUCCUCUGGGACUCAAGAGGAGGUAACUGGUCAAACAGGAGCCAAAUAAGGCCUUCUGCGAGGAGAAACCCACACAUAUCCCACUCUCUGCUGCACACGCUGCAUUCACACACAUAAACGCAGCUUCGCCUCAAAACCAACACCUGAGGAUCGAGCUGCCGCCGUCGCCCCGACAGCUCCGACUGCCCCCUCCGUUACGCGGGCUCCUCCCAGUGUUUUAUGGCAUCCAGAUGAAGACAGGUGGAUUACUUAACAACCGUCUGCUGAGACAACACCGAGGCGUGUAAACCAGUGCUGGCAGAUUAGCCGUGGCACAGUGUGAAUUCAUGACCGGGCUGGAAAAGGGGGCAAAGUCCCAAACGCCAGCAUGCUACGGGAACCGGCGUGGGGCUACAGCAGCCGAGCAGAACGCCACACACGCACACGGUUUAACAGACCCUGUCUCCACUAACACACACACACACACACAUUUGUACUUCAUUUGACUCAAAUCUGCGUCGCCUCCAACAGACUGACCUGGUCCUAAAUCCCGUUGAUGGCACAUUUGUCUUUUCCUCCUUCAUGUUAGCUAACUCUGGCCGCAGAAAGCAUGCGCAUUGUGCCGUUGCCAAGCAAAAUUAAUUUGUGGGACAAACUGGCCACAUGCCAUCUGCCUCUUGCUCUAAUUGCUCAGUGGGAACUCCCUGCUCUGCCCAUUCGAAAUGCUCUCUGCUGUCCUCUGCCCUGACUUGAGCCUCUGGUGAUUUUGGCAAGGAGGGAAACAAACUGUCUUUGUCUUCAGGAGCGGUCAGAAGCAGGAAUUUUUCUCUUUUUCUCUCAUGCUGUGUCAGGUCUAUUUCUUCGGAAGAUAAUUUUAUUGGUUUGUCUGGAACUGCAAAGCUUACUAGCAUUUGCAGUUGCACUUUGGUGUAAGUUUUAAAGAUGAUACUUAGUAGAAAUAUUUCAUCUUUUACCACAUCAGCAUCAAAUCAUCCCUCUGCAGCAGGACUUGGAAACUGCUGUGCAAAAACAACUGUGUCUAUUUAGAAGAAAGAACCAGAGAAACUGAGCUGGUCAAUCUGAUCCUGAUAAAUCUAUCCAAUGUUUUUCUCAUUAAAAAGUCUUUUUUAUCGUCAUCGUAUGACUUUUUUUGUGUGCUAAGAUCACAUCCCUAUUCUGGUAAUAUUAUGACUGUAUUCUUGUAAUUAAACAAAAAUUUCCUUAGUCCGGCCCCAAUACGCCGUAGUGCAACUCAAAUAAUCAACUCAAAUAGUCAAAACAGGGAUGAUUGGAAUGAAACCACUCUUUGAAAAUUUCUCUCCUUUUGAAUUUCUCUUUUAGAGAAGAAAGCAAGAAAAACAAAUCGAUUAAAAAAAAAACUAUAAUCUGAUGUGGUAUGAAAAUAGUCAGUGGCUUUAUUUUUAAGCCACAUUGUAGCAUUCAGUUGAUUUUGGUUAUCCGAAUGUUUUGAGGUGCUUUCAGCAAACACCGCUUCUCUUUAUCCCUUCAAAUAUCCCAAAUAUUUAGCUGGACUGCCAAGAAAACCCUUUGCCACCAGGGUGCCUGACACUUCUCCUGAGUCAGAACAAACAUCCUCUGUUUAUGUUUUUUGUUUAAUAUGUUAGGAAAGGUCUUUUUUUU